GACGAACGCUGGCGGCGUGCUUAACACAUGCAAGUCGAACGCUGAAGCUCAGCUUUUGUUGGGUGGAUGUGUGGCGAACGGGUGAGUAACACGUGAGUAACCUGCCCCCUUCUUUGGGAUAACGCCCGGAAACGGGUGCUAAUACUGGAUAUUCACUGGUCUUCGCAUGGGGGUUGGUGGAAAGGGUUUUUCUGGUGGGGGAUGGGCUCGCGGCCUAUCAGCUUGUUGGUGGGGUGAUGGCCUACCAAGGCUUUGACGGGUGGCCGGCCUGAGAGGGUGACCGGUCACAUUGGGACUGAGAUACGGCCCAGACUCCUACGGGAGGCGGCAGUGGGGAAUAUUGCACAAUGGGCGCAAGCCUGAUGCAGCGACGCCGCGUGAGGGAUGGAGGCCUUCGGGUUGUGAACCUCUUUCGCUCAUGGUCAAGCCGCAACAAUGGUUGUGGUGAGGGUAGUGGGUAAAGAAGCGCCGGCUAACUACGUG
rnacentral:rRNA from 1 species